UACGUAGGGUGCGAGCGUUAAUCGGAAUUACUGGGCGUAAAGCGUGCGCAGGCGGUUUCACAAGCUCGAUGUGAAAGCCCCGGGCUUAACCUGGGAAUGGCAUUGAAUACUGGAGUGCUGGAGGGUUGGAGGGGGGACUGGAAUUCUCGGUGUAGCAGUGAAAUGCGUAGAUAUCGAGAGGAACACCAGUGGCGAAGGCGAGUCCCUGGACAACACCUGACACUGAGGCACGAAAGCCGGGGGAGCAAACAGG
rnacentral:rRNA from 1 species